GCGGGGCGGCGCGCGCAGCGGCAGGCGGCGGCGGGAUGGAGCCCGAGCCCGAGCCCGCGGCCGUGGAGGUUCCCGCGGGGCGCGUGCUCAGCGCCCAGGAGCUCUUCGCCGCCCGCUCGCGGUCGCAGAAGCUGCCCCAGCGCUCGCAUGGCCCCAAGGACUUUCUGCCCGACGGCUCGGCAGCUCAGGCCGAGCGGCUGCGCCGGUGCCGGGAAGAGCUCUGGCAGCUGCUGGCAGAGCAGCGCGUGGAGCGCCUGUGAGAGGGGCGGGCCCAGGGGUAAGGGAAGCGGGGGCGAGGCGGGCCGCGGGGCCUCCGGAAUGGACUGACGCAGACCCCUCCCCACUCCUCGCCAGGGGCAGCUUGGUGGCUGCCGAGUGGAGGCCAGAAGAGGGCUUCGUGGAGUUGAAGUCUCCUGCGGUGAGCGGCGGGCUCGGGGACCGGGGACCGCCCUCCCUGCCCUCCUUCCCUUGUGACACUUGCUCUGGGCCCCACACAGGGCAAAUUCUGGCAGACCAUGGGCUUCUCAGAGCAGGGCCGGCAGCGGCUUCACCCGGAAGAGGCCUUGUAUCUUCUGGAGUGUGUAAGUGGGGCCCGGGAGGUGGGGAAGGAGUUGGGACCAAAGAACGGGAAGGACACGUUUUAUCGGAGAAAAAGCACACACAACCCGGUCUUUAGAGAACUGAUAACCGAACUUCUAAAGCAGGAGGUGGUACGUUGCAGGGAGCAGGGAUUCCAGUCCACAUUAGUGAUGCUGCCCCACUUUCCUGGUUGGCCACAUUCUUGAUGCGCUGCUGAGAGGGGGAGGGGGAGG
rnacentral:sRNA from 1 species